rnacentral:pre_miRNA from 1 species
AUGUCUAUGCAUACCGCCACUUUCGGCUUUAAUUGAAUAUAUAUAUAUAUAUAUUCUGGUAAAGCCGGAAGUGGCGGUAUGCAUAGACAU